ACCAUCCUUCUCUUGGGGUUGUGCUAUUGUCCAGUGAGUGCAUGGUGAGGGCAUACUGCUAAUACCUACACAACAUGCUGACAUCAACCAGAGCUUUGCUUUAUAGUGGUGAUAUUUUUGGAAAA